GCAAAUAGGACCCCUCUGCUCAUGAAAAGCAGCCCAGCCCUGACCCUGCAGCUCUGGGACAGGAGCCCAGCUCAUGAUUCCCAGGUGUUCCCAGCUCCUGCUCAGGGCAGAGCACAGACCUCUCACCAUAGAGUUUGGGCUCAGCUGGGUUUUCCUUGUUGCUAUUUUAAGAGGUGUCCAGUGUGAUGUGCAGCUGGUGGAGUCUGGGGGAGGCUUGGUGAAGCCUGGGGGGUCUCUGAGACUCUCCUGUGCAGCCUCUGGAUUCUCCUUCAGUGGUGCCCAUAUGCACUGGGUCCACCAGCCCCCGAGGAAGGGGCUGGAUUGGGUGGCAGCUGUAUGCUAUGACGAAAGUCAGAAAUACUGUGCAGACUCUGUGAAAGGCCGAUUCACCAUCUCCAGAGACAAUGCCAAGAACACAUUGUAUCUGCGAACAAACAGCCUGAGAGCUAAAGACACAGCCGUGUAUUAUUGCACUACAGACACAAUGACAGAAAGUGUCUCUCCCUCUCUGCUGCAGUCCCUGCUCCUCUCAGCAAAGGAGAACAGGUGUCCAGUGAAAGGUGCAGCUGGUGGAGUCUGGUGGAAGCUUGGUGCAGCCUGGGGAACCUCUGAGACUCGCCUGUGA